AUAUUUAUAUAAAUAAAUAAAUUACAGAUAUGUACAUAAGUGCUCAGGAACUGAGAAGGAGAAUGAAAGAAGGGAGCAAGUCAGCACUAUGCAGAAGGGAGAGGGAGGAAAAGAAGACCUAGUCAGGGAAGGCCUCUUGGAGGAGAUGUGCCUUCAAUAAGGCUUUGAAGGCGGGGAGAGUCACUGUCUGUCAAAUUUGAGGAUGGAGGGCAUUCCAGGCCAGAGGCAGAAUGUGGGCGAGAGGUCGGUGGCGAGAUAGACGAGAUUGCAGUGUAGUGAGAAGGUUAGCAUUAGAGGAGUGAAGUGUGUGGGCUGUGUUGUAGGCAGUGGGGCCUUAAAAAUCAGUCUGGGGAAAGGAGCGAUUUUGAUAAUUUCUAACGGGAGCUGGCAACUCUCCUCUUCCUUGUUUCCUUCAGCAUUGCUCUGCCUUCAGCCUGUGGCCAGACUGUGACGGCUACAGGAGAGUCCAAGUGCCUCAGCCUUCAUGAAAUACAAGUGAGCCCUGGCGGGAAGGACAGAGGGUCGGUAUCAGUCGAUGGCCUUCAGUCUGCUCGUCGCUGUGUGCCUUCAGAGCUCCACAACGGUACCUGUUCUGUCAAAGAAGGCCCAGGAUGACAUUUUGGAUGAACCUGAUGGCUUCGCAUUUACUGGCUGUGGCAGAAUAAAGAUGGCAAUCAAAAGUGGAAUCAGAAGAGAAAAUUAGCUUGAACAAGCGCCCGGGUACGUGUGUGUGAGCAGGCCUGCGUGUAUGCUAGUUUGUGGACCUGAAGGUCUGUGAAUUAGUCUGCCCGUUUACGUGGAAAAAUACUUUCAGCGAAGCUUAGAGGCUGUGUGUGGCUACCGGACCUGUAGUUGCCGGUGUUGUAGGUUGCCAUGUUGCCAUGGGCCCCCUGUAGUGAUGGACAGAUGUAACCGGAGAUGCAUAGUAGGGGAAAUAGUAUUAGUAGUAUUUAUUAAGUUUAGACUGUGAGCCCAUUGUGGGGCAGGGAUUGUCUCUAUCUGUUGC
rnacentral:lncRNA from 1 species